CCCUCACCCUGCAGCUCUGGCACAGGAGCUCCAGCCCCAGCACUCCCAGGUGUCCACUCAGUGAUCGCACUCAACACAGACACUCACCAUGGAGACUGGGCUGCGCUGGCUUCUCCUGGUCGCUGUGCUCAAAGGUGUCCAGUGUCAGCAGCAGCUGGAGGAGUCCGGGGGAGGCCUGGUCAAGCCUGAGGGAUCCCUGACACUCACCUGCAAAGCCUCUGGAUUCGACUUCAGUAGCAAUGCAAUGUGCUGGUUCCGCCAGGCUCCAGGGAAGGGGCCGGAGUGGAUCGCAUGCAUUUAUGCUGGUGAUGGAAGCACAGACUACGCGAGCUGGGUGAAUGGCCGAUUCACCAUCGCCAGCGACAACGCCCAGAACACUGUGGAUCUUCAAAUGACCAGUCUGACAGGCGCGGACACGGCCACCUAUUUCUGUGGGAGAGACACAGGAGACCAGCAGGUGGGACAGUCCAGUGAGGUCUGCACUAGAGUCCAGGUGGUUCUGGACUGUGUCCCUGUGAGUCGACCAAUGAUCCAACCCUGGAGCUGCAUCCCUGCUGCAUGA